rnacentral:tRNA from 1 species
CGGGGCGUAGCGCAGUCUGGUAGCGCACUUGGUUUGGGACCAAGGGGCCGAAGGUUCGAAUCCUUUCGCCCCGA